AGCGAACGCUGGCGGCAGGCUUAACACAUGCAAGUCGAACGGCCGUAGCAAUACGGCAGUGGCAGACGGGUGAGUAACACGUGGGAAUGUACCUCUCGGUUCGGAAUAACCCAGGGAAACUUGGGCUAAUACCGGAUACGCCCUUACGGGGAAAGAUUUAUCGCCGAGAGAUCAGCCCGCGUCCGAUUAGCUAGUUGGUGGGGUAAUGGCCCACCAAGGCGACGAUCGGUAGCUGGUCUGAGAGGAUGAUCAGCCACACUGGGACUGAGACACGGCCCAGACUCCUACGGGAGGCAGCAGUGGGGAAUAUUGGAGAAUGGGCGCAAGCCUGAUCCAGCCAUGCCGCGUGGGUGAUGAAGGCCCUAGGGUUGUAAAGCCCUUUCGGCGGGGAAGAUAAUGACGGUACCCGCAGAAGAAGCCCCGGCUAACUUCGUGCCAGCAGCCGCGGUAAUACGAAGGGGGCUAGCGUUGCUCGGAAUCACUGGGCGUAAAGCGCACGUAGGCGGGUCGUUU
rnacentral:rRNA from 1 species